CAAAUGACUCUCGGCAAUGGAUAUCUCGGCUCUUGCAUCGAUGAAGAACGUAGUGAAAUGCGAUACUUGGUGUGAAUUGCAGAAUCUCGCGAACCAUUGAGUCUUUGAACGCAAGUUGUGCCCGAGGCCUUGUGGUCGAGGGCACGCCUGCUUGGGUGUCAUGG
rnacentral:rRNA from 2 species